GCGUCGGUGGCCUAAUGGCGUAGAGCACUCCCUCCCGGUAAGCAGGAGGUUCGGGUUCGAGUCCCGUCCGGCGCA
rfam:Heligmosomoides polygyrus genome assembly, scaffold: HPBE_contig0006271